GGACGUAACACGUAGGGUAACCUGCCUCAUAGAGGGGAAUAGCCUUUCGAAAGGAAGAUUAAUACCGCAUAAGGUAGCAUUACCGCAUGGUACAGCAAUUAAAGGAGUAAUCCGCUAUGAGAUGGACCCGCGUCGCAUUAGCUAGUUGGUGAGGUAACGGCUCACCAAGGCGACGAUGCGUAGCCGACCUGAGAGGGUGAUCGGCCACAUUGGGACUGAGACACGGCCCAGACUCCUACGGGAGGCAGCAGUGGGGAAUAUUGCACAAUGGGGGAAACCCUGAUGCAGCAACGCCGCGUGAGUGAUGACGGCCUUCGGGUUGUAAAGCUCUGUCUUUGGGGACGAUAAUGACGGUACCCAAGGAGGAAGCCACGGCUAACUACGUGCCAGCAGCCGCGGUAAUACGUAGGUGGCAAGCGUUGUCCGGAUUUACUGGGCGUAAAGGGAGCGUAGGUGGAUAUUUAAGUGGGAUGUGAAAUACUCGGGCUUAACCUGGGUGCUGCAUUCCAAACUGGAUAUCUAGAGUGCAGGAGAGGAAAGGAGAAUUCCUAGUGUAGCGGUGAAAUGCGUAGAGAUUAGGAAGAAUACCAGUGGCGAAGGCGCCUUUCUGGACUGUAACUGACACUGAGGCUCGAAAGCGUGGGGGAGCAAAACAGGAUUAGAUACCCUGGUAGUCCACGCCGUAAAACGAUGAAUACUAGGUGUAGGGGGUUGUCAUGACCUCUGUGCCGCCGCUAACGCAUUAAGUAUUCCGCCUGGGGAGUACGG
rnacentral:rRNA from 1 species